rnacentral:rRNA from 1 species
UGGGGAAUUUUGGACAAUGGGCGAAAGCCUGAUCCAGCAAUGCCGCGUGUGUGAAGAAGGCCUUCGGGUUGUAAAGCACUUUUGUCCGGAAAGAAAUCCUUGGCUCUAAUACAGUCGGGGGAUGACGGUACCGGAAGAAUAAGCACCGGCUAACUACGUGCCAGCAGCCGCGGUAAUACGUAGGGUGCAAGCGUUAAUCGGAAUUACUGGGCGUAAAGCGUGCGCAGGCGGUUUGCUAAGACCGAUGUGAAAUCCCCGGGCUCAACCUGGGAACUGCAUUGGUGACUGGCAGGCUAGAGUAUGGCAGAGGGGGGUAGAAUUCCACGUGUAGCAGUGAAAUGCGUAGAGAUGUGGAGGAAUACCGAUGGCGAAGGCAGCCCCCUGGGCCAAUACUGACGCUCAUGCACGAAAAGCGUGGGGGAGCAAAACAGGAUUAGAUACCCUGGUAGUCCACGCCCUAAACGAUGUCAACUAGUUGUUGGGGAUUCAUUUCCUUAGUAACGUAGCUAACGCGUGAAGUUGACCGCCUGGGGAGUACGGUCGCAAGAUUAAAACUCAAAGGAAUUGACGGGGUCAUAGCUGUUUCCU